ACGUUACGGGUUAGUACGUAGUAGGUACGGUACGGUAGGAGAGUAGAAGACGAGGACGCUUCCUUCGGGAAGCGAGCGUACACAGGUGCUGCAUGGCUGUCGUCAGCCCGUGUCGUGAGAUGUUGGGUUAAGUCCCGUAACGAGCGCAACCCUUGUCCUUAGUUACCAGCACGUUAUGGUGGGCACUCUAAGGAGACUGCCGGUGACAAACCGGAGGAAGGUGGGGAUGACGUCAAGUCAUCAUGGCCCUUACGGCCUGGGCUACACACGUGCUACAAUGGUCGGUACAAAGGGUUGCCAAGCCGCGAGGUGGAGCUAAUCCCAUAAAACCGAUCGUAGUCCGGAUCGCAGUCUGCAACUCGACUGCGUGAAGUCGGAAUCGCUAGUAAUCGUGAAUCAGAAUGUCACGGUGAAUACGUUCCCGGGCCUU
rnacentral:rRNA from 1 species